rnacentral:rRNA from 1 species
UCUUGGUCCCAUUAGAGGAAGUAAAAGUCGUAACAAGGUUUCCGUAGGUGAACCUGCGGAAGGAUCAUUAUUGAGAGAGGGGGCUCUGCCUCCCGGGGGCUUCGGCCUUCAACUCUUCGCCCUUUGUGUACUUAAUCUAUGUUGCUUUGGCGGGCCUCGAGCUCUGUCUCGCGCGGGUCCGGAGGGUUUCCUCUCGGAACCGCGAGUGCCCGCCAGAGGCCCUUUCAUUCCGCUUCAUCUGUAUCGUCCGAGCAUAACGAAAACAAUCGUACAAAACUUUCAACAACGGAUCUCUUGGUUCCAGCAUCGAUGAAGAACGCAGCGAAAUGCGAUAAGUAAUGUGAAUUGCAGAAUUCCGUGAAUCAUCGAAUCUUUGAACGCACAUUGCGCCCCUUGGCAUUCCGAGGGGCAUGCCUGUUCGAGCGUCAUUGCAUCCCUCAAGCGUGGCUUGGUAUUGGGUCUCGCCCCCGGGGCGGUCCCGAAAAGCAACGGUUGCCCGGCGUGGACGUUCGAGCGUAGUAGAUUUCUCCCGCUCCGGAUGCUACAUCGUGGUGGCCUUAAUCUUAAGAACUUACUCAAUGAUUGACCUCGGAUCAGGCAGGGAUACCCGCUGAACUUAAGCAUAUCAUAAAGCCGGAGGAA